rnacentral:rRNA from 1 species
CCUACGGGCGGCAGCAGUGGGGAAUAUUGGACAAUGGGCGAAAGCCUGAUCCAGCCAUGCCGCGUGUGUGAAGAAGGCCUUCGGGUUGUAAAGCACUUUCAGUGGGGAAGAAAGCCUUGGGGCUAAUACCCUCGAGGAAGGACAUCACCCACAGAAGAAGCACCGGCUAACUCCGUGCCAGCAGCCGCGGUAAUACGGAGGGUGCGAGCGUUAAUCGGAAUUACUGGGCGUAAAGCGCGCGUAGGCGGUCUGAUAAGCCGGUUGUGAAAGCCCCGGGCUCAACCUGGGAACGGCAUCCGGAACUGUCAGGCUAGAGGGCAGGAGAGGAAGGUAAAAUUCCCGGUGUAGCGGUGAAAUGCGUAGAGAUCGGGAGGAAUACCAGUGGCGAAGGCGGCCUUCUGGACUGACACUGACGCUGAGGUGCGAAAGCGUGGGUAGCAAACAGGAUUAGAUACCCGAGUAGUC